rnacentral:sRNA from 1 species
AAUCCCACCUAUAAAUUGCCAAGUCUUGAAAAUCUCCCCUAUACUCAGCCAAGCAACAUUGACCUAAGCUAUCCCAUUAAUCCUGGUCCUCAAUUACAAACGAGAACCUCACAAGAUCCUAGUAAAGAAAUAGAGUCACCAGAAACAAACCAUAAUUCUACUGAAUUGGAAUUGUCACCAACUGCCUCAAAUGGUCCUCAUAUCCCUUGCAGGUCUGAUAGAAACAGAAGAGCACCUAUUUAUCUACAAGAUUUCAUAUGUCAACAGGCUUCCUCACUCACCCAUUCUCAAGUGUCUGCCAAGAAAAGGGGUGCCAUAAUUUUAGGUAAUCCUUUUCCUCUAAACGCAACACUUUCUUAUCAUAGAUUGUCUAACAAGCACAAAGUCUUCUCUUCGUCCUUACUUGAACAUGUAGAGCCCACUACUAACCAAGAGGCUAUCCAAUAUCCUAAAUGGUGUGAAGCUAUGCAGGCUGAAAUUAAGGUCUUGAGUCAAACCAAACUUGGAAUGUCACCGAUUUGCCCCUCCCCCCCGAAAAGGUACCCAUAGGAUGUAAAUGCGUGUACAAGGUGAAAUUUAAUGCUGAUGGAACAACUGAAAGACAUAAGGCAAGGCUCGUGGCAAAGGGUUACACCCAACUGGAAGGGAUAGACUACCAUGAAACCUUUUCACCUGUGGCAAAACUGGUAACAAUCAAGACAUUACUUGCAGUAGCAACAGUAAGAGGUUGGUAUCUACACCAAUUUGAGGUGAAUAAUGCCUUCUUGCACGGAGAUUUGGAGGAGGAAGUCUAUAUGCAUAUGUUUCCUGGAUACCCCAUCAACGGAACUUCAAAAGUGUGCAAACUUAAUAAGAGUUUACAUGGUUUAAAGCAAGUGUCACGACAAUGGUACUCUAAGUUAUCCAUUUUCAGUACUGAGCAAGGAUUUCAUCAGUCCAAGGCUGAUUACAGCCUCUUUACAAAGAACACUGGAAGUUCUUUUACAGCCGUAUUGAUUUACAUGGAUGAUAUUAUAAUAGCUGGAAGCAAUGUUGAAGUUAUAGACUCCCUUAAAAAGUAUCGUUGGAUAACAAAUUUAAGAUUAAGAAUUUGGGGAUUCUUAAGUAUUUUCUUGGAAUUGAGGUUGCUUGAUCAGCAAAGGGGAUCCAAAUUUGUCAAAGGAAAUAUGCAUUAGACAUUUUAACUGAUUCGGGUAAUAUUGGGGUCACUUCAACCAAGAUUCCACUUGAUCAAAACAAUAAAUUGUCCAAAGAUGAAGGAGAAGCCUUAUCUGACCCUGCCAUGUAUAGAAGACUUGUGGGAAGAUUACUUUAUUUAACAAUCACCAGGUCUGAUUUAUCUUAUUCAGUACAUUUGCUGAGCCAAUACAUUCAAACUUGUAGAGUACCACACCUCAAUGCUGCACUUAAAGUCCUAGGUACAUCAAGAGGUCACCAGGUCAAGGAUUUUUGUUCUCAUCGUCAUCCAAUUUGCAACUUACAGCUUAUAGUGAUUCAGACUGGGGAGCAUGCCCAGAUUCUCAAAGGUCAAUCACUAGCUAUUGCGUCUUCAUUGGUUCUUCAUUGAUAUCUUGGAGAUCCAAGAAGUAAAGCACUGUCUCCAGAUCCUCAGCAGAAGUAGAAUACAGAGCAAUGGCAACUGCAUGUUGUGAACUAACGUGGCUUAGAUAUGUCCUUAAUGAUCUGCAAGUUCCUUAUUCACAACCUGCUGAAUUAUUCUGCAAUAAUCAGGAUACCUUACACAUAGGAGCUAAUCCAGUGUUCCAUGAGCGAAUGAAGCAUAUUGAGCUAGAUUGUUAUUUGGUGCGCGACAAAAUUCAAGAAGGAAGUCUUGUCACAAAGCAUGUUAUGAUUGGUUCUCAAGUUGCUGAUAUAUUUACCAAGGCUCUUCCCUCUGAUAGUUUUAAUCUUCAUUUGUCCAAGAUGGGAGUGGAAGACAUCCACUCUCCACCUUGAGGGGGGCUAUUGAAACUCAAAGAUGAUCGCGAAGUUCGAAUGACUUAAGCCAGGAAGGAUCUAGAAUGCACUGGAAUGAGGGUGGCUCGUGCACAUGAUCAAUGAAAUUAAAUUGAUUCCAAUUUUGUUAGGAUGUUAGUGUGUAAAUAGGUCUGCAACAAACUACUGACUUUUUUCUGUAUAAUUUUGUUAUAGCAAUGCUGUGUAAAUAGCUCAUUUUCCUUCCAAAUGUACACACGAGAAUUGAGAAAAUAAUUAAUACACUCAGCAGAUUUUUUCAUCUCUGUUUUCAAUUCUUGGAUGAGCAAAUUGCUUCACACUACUCUGUUCAUGAUCUUUCUGGGAAGGUAGAUAACUUCCAUGCUCCUAAUUACUUUUUUGUCAGCAACCUGGAAAAAAUAGGUCAAAAUGCAUCCAUAAAUUGUCUGCAACCUUGUAACUACCUGCUUUGCAUCUGAAUUUUAUAAUCGCAUAGGUUCAUAAUGACUGACUAAAUAUCCUGGAAAGAAAAUGGGCAAAAUUUAUCCAUGAAUUUAACUUUAAUCAUCUUUGCACCUAUUUACCAAUUAUUCUCAUUUACUUAUUGCUGCUAAUCGGGACAGGUUGAAUGCAAGUUUGCAUUGCAAAAGGAAUUGGGUCUUCCAAUACGACCUCAAUGCCCUUUGGUGAGAGUGUAUAAUGAUUUUGUUUUAAUUAGAUAGUAUAUGUUCGCUUUCUUCUAGAAUUCUGUAAGAAGUUAGGUGUUUUAGAUUGGAUUUAUUGGGAGACUGGACUACCAGAAAGGUGUAGACAUUAUUCUUUCAGCAAUUCUCGAACUUAUGCAAGAUGAUGUCCAAUUUGUAAGUCGUCUUUUACUUUUCUUUGUGUUUACAUUGUGUGUGACUGUGUUAGCAUAAGUGGUUUUUUAUCCGGCAUCUUGUUGGGUUUUAUGGGGUUCACCACUUUUAACUUGUUUAUGUUUUUGUCUCUUUUAGGUGAUGCGAUUGUUGGAAAAUAAGGGGUUAGAGAAGAAACAACAACAAAAUUAUAGAAAAAAAUGAAUAGAAAUCACGAAAUACAUCAAGAAUAAAUUUUCGGCUUGAACACGGGAUCGUUGUCCUCAAACUAUAUUUGCCCCCUCUCCGUAUGAAAUGAGAUGCUUAAGGGUAUUAUGACAAAUGGUUUGAAGGAUUUUAACAAGCCUUGAUGCAAAAAAUAACAAAGCACGAGAAAUUUUUCGCCAAAAUUUGAUGAACACAAUAAAGAAGAAACGAAUAUGAGUUAUAACAGGGAUUUGAUUAAUUGUGGAACAAUAUAUGAAUUUCAAGAUAUUUUUCUUGUUUGUUAUGUAUUUGUAUUAAUCAUUCAUCACCUAUUUAUAGGCCUCAAUCAAUACAUCACGAAAUGGUGUCAAAACAAGAUGAAAAGUGGCAACUUUUAAUCCAAAACGAUCCCCAAGUUUCAAAUUGAAAAACUAGCCAACGACUAUUUUUUAACACCAUGCGUACACAUAGUAGAAGCAAAAUUUAAUUCUGAUUUUGCCAAAACAUAUCUCGUGUACGCACAAAAAUAAGCCUGUGCGUACGCAUAGGCAAAAAAUCAAAUUUUUCAUUUUUCAAUUUCUUUUGAUUCUACCAAUUCCACAAUUGAGCCCAAAAAUUAGUCCAUUAUCAUUCCAUUGAUUUUGAACAAAUAUUCAACAAUCCCCCACUUGUUCAAAAUCAAUACGAUCACAUAUUCAAAAGGACGACACUUAUGCAUAAGGAUUAGAUAUCUUUCGAUUUGAAUCUAACCAUAGUGUAAUUCAAAUAAAGUAAAGUCGGAAUUAGAGGUAGCAUGGAAGCUUUGAACCAAUUAUUCCUUGUGACAAUACUGGUAAGAACACACACAUAAGUAUCACGUGUUCUCAAGUUCCUUAACUCGUUUAGCGCUUUUAUGGCGUUGCGCUCAUCCUAUUCGACAAACUUUUAAGAGAGACAUUUCAACUCUCUAUUGAGGCAGAACUACCUCGAAGUUAGUUUAGGUGAAGUUCUUCCAGUACCUUUAUUACUUUUAGAGGUACUUGUGUUUUAGCACUGAACUUCAUUAAGAGCUUUAAGCUCAACCCUCACUUUAGUAACAACUAGCAUUAUUUAAUUAGGAUAGGGUCAUUGCGGAUUUGAAUAAUGCUGCAACCAUUCACAUAUCGAAUGACUUGUUGUUACCCUUUGAACCCGUAAAUUACUUUUUGAGUAAUGACAGGUAGGGUUGCCGUCAUUGGUGGACCUUUUUAAUUAAGGAGUUUCAACCCUAUCCUACUCGAAGUAGACGCCACUAAAUCUCUAUUUAGUGCUUUAGUUAAAUGAUCCACUAAAUUCUCAAUUGUCCUUACAUAAUUUAGGGAAAUUAUUCCAUCUUUGAUUAAUUUCCUUAUGUAGUCAUGUCUCAGACUCAUAUGUCUAGACUUUUCAUUGUAUACCUCGUUAUAUGCAUUUGCUAAUGUGGCUUGACUAUCACACAUGAUAGGUAUUGAAGAGAUAUUCUUCGAUCCCAAAGGUAUCUCAUAUAAGAAAUCCUUAAGCCACUCAGCCUCUUUCCCGGUAUUCGAUAAAGUUACAAAUUCAGAUUUCAUGGUUGAGUGUGUUAUACAUGUUUGUUUUUUUUUAUUUCCAAGAAACAACACCUCCUCCAAGAGUGAAUACCCAAACCGAAGUGGAUUUACUUUCACCCGUGUUAGAUAUCUAACUAGCAUCGAUAAAUCCUUCCAAUAUCAUCGGAAACUUAGUAUAUUGUAGGCCCAAGUUCUUGGUUUUCUUUAAGAAUCCAAGAACUCUCACAAUAGCCUUCCAAUGAUCAUUACUCAGAUUGCUAGUAAACCUACUAAGUUUACUUAUUACAUAAGCUAUAUCCGGUCUUGUGCAUUGAAUAGCAUACAUAAGACUCCAUAUAGCACUUGCAUAUUCCAAUUGAGCAAUCACCCUUCCAUCAUUAUUUAUUAGUUUUGAACUUAGAUCAAUCGGGGUACUACAUUCCUUUAUGUUCAAAUGUUUGAACUUAUUUAUCACAUUCUCAAUAUAAUGUGAUUGACUUAGAUAGUAACCCCCACUAGUCUUUGUGACUUUGAUACCUAAAAUGGUAUCCACUUGUCCAAGAUCUUUCAUCUUGAAUGUGGAAGAAAGAAACCUCUUUGUUUUUUCUAUUCCGUCCAUGUGAUUACUCAUAAUCAGCAUGUCGUCAACAUACAACAUAUAAAUGUCACAUAAUCAUCACAAACUUUAGAAUAUAAACAUUUAUCAAUGCUAUUAUGUUUAAACUCGAAUGAUAUUAUUGCUAAGUCAAACUUCUCAUGCCAUUUCUUUGGUGCUUGCUUCAGACCAUAUAAAGAUUUCACCAACUUACACACUUUAUGUUCAUUUCCAGGUAGGGCAAACCCUUCGGGUUGUUCCAUAUAGACCUCCUCAUCGAGAUCUCCAUUUACAAAUUCCAUCUUGACAUUAAUUUGAUGAACAUGCAAGUCAUAUAUUGAAGACAAAGCGAAUAAUAUCCUAAUCGAUGUUACUCUAGCUAUCAGUGCAUAAGUAUCAAAAUAGUCGAUUCCUUCCUUUUGUCGAUAUCCUUUGGCUACUAAUCUAGCCUUGAAGGUAUUUAAGAAUCCAUCAACAUUGUAUUUUCUCCUAAAUACCCAUUUGCAUCCAAUAGGCUUGGAUCCCGAUGGUAAAUCAACAAGUUCCCAAGUAUUAUUGGACAUUAUCGAAUUCAUUUCGUCCUUAAUUGCAUCUUUCCAAAAUAUGCUAUUACGGGAAGCCAUAGCUUCUUUAUAAGUCUUAGGGUCGAUUUCUACUUGUAGAACAAAAGGAAUUGUUCUCACAACAUUCAACUCAUUUCCCUCUACUAAGUAAAAGGAGAUAAGUUGAGAAUCGAUUUCAUUCGAUCCCAAAGACUUCUCAACUCGAAUUCUCUUGCUUCUUCGUGGUUCACUAGAUUCAUCAACAUCCUUAGAAGAUAUUUCAUCAUGUGUUCCACUUGAGUUAGAGAUAUUUUCAAGAUUUUCCCUCAAUUCAUUAUCCGAAGAUAACGAAUCCUCAAAGAACUCCACAUCGUUGGACAUCGUUGGAUUCGAUAAUCACAUUGGACUCCAAAUUUAGUAAUCUAUAAGAUUUGAUAUUGUUUUCAUAUCCAACAAAUGCACAUUUAAUGCCUCUUGGACCCAAUUUGGUCCUCUUAGGAUUCGUGUUCUUGCAAUAGGCAAGACACCCCCACACUUUGAAGUAUCCAAUGUUCGAUUUUCUUCCUUUCCACAAUUCAUAAGGAGAAACAUUAAUAUAGUUUGAAGGAAUCCUAUUAAGUAUUCUACAUGCACUUAAUAAAGUUUUACCCCACAAGUUAAAUGAUAACUUAGCAUGAAUAAGCAUGGCAUUUAUCAUUUCUACAAAUGUUCUAUUUUUUCUUUUAGUCAAGCCGUUUUGUUCGGGUGUCCUAGGUGCAGAACAUUGAUGAAUAAUUCCAUAUUGUUCACAAAACAAAUUAAAAUAAUUGAAAAAGUAUUCACCACCUCUAUCACUUUCUUAAAAUUUUAAUUUUCGUUCUCAGAUAAAUUUCAACAUCAUUCUUGUAUGUCUUAAACAUGUCAAAAACUUCACUUUUAUGUUUUAUCAAAUAAACAUAUGUAUAACUAGAAAAGUUAUCUAUAAAAGUUAUGAAAUAUUUAUUUCCACCUCUAGUUAACAUACCAUUAAGUUCACAUAUAUCAGUAUGAAUUAAUUCUAAAAUACUAGAGGUUCUCUUAAUACUUUGAUAUGAUUUUUUAAUCAUUUUAGAUUCUAUACAUGUUUUGCAUUUAUAUUUAUCAUUUUCAUCACAUGAGAUCAAAUCAUAUUUUUUCAUGCGUUUCAUUGUAUUUCUACCAACAUGACCUAAUCUAGCAUGCCAUAAUGAAAAUAAACUCACAACAUAAGCAAAAUUACUUUUAUUCAUUUCAUUGUCAACGGUACAUAAUUUGUCAAUUCCUUCACACGAAUAGCCUUUUUCAACAAAUUUCCCAUUAAGGGAUAGUACAAAUUUACCGGACUCAUAAACACAUUUGAUGCCUGGUUUUUCCAAGAGAUUGCCACUAACUAGGUUCCUAUUUAUAUCCGGAACAUGUAGUACAUUAGUUAUAGUAACGAUUUUCCCAGAAGUGAAAAUAAUGUCUAUACUUCCUUUUCCAAACACCUUAGACCGCAUCUCGUUACCCAUUUGAAUCUCUUGUUCUCCAUCCACUUCUUGAUAAGUUUUGAACAAAUAUUUAUCAUAUGAUACAUAUACCAUAGCAUAAGUAUCAUACCACCACUCGAGAACAUUUCCUUUGAUUG